UACGUAGGGUGCAAGCGUUGUCCGGAAUUAUUGGGCGUAAAGAGCUCGUAGGCGGUUUGUCGCGUCUGCUGUGAAAACUGGGGGCUCAACCCCCAGCCUGCAGUGGGUACGGGCAGACUAGAGUGCGGUAGGGGAGAUUGGAAUUCCUGGUGUAGCGGUGGAAUGCGCAGAUAUCAGGAGGAACACCAAUGGCGAAGGCAGCUCGCUGGGACGGUACUGACGCUGAGACGCGAAAGCGUGGGGAGCAAACAGG
rnacentral:rRNA from 1 species